UGGAGGACAAAUUGAUGGAUGGAUUUAAGAGAGACUUAGAUAGGGUUCUAGGGGCUAGUGGAGUCAAGGGAUAUGGGGAGAAGGCAGGCACGGGUUAUUGAUAGGGGAUGAUCAGCCAUGAUUACAAUGAAUGCUGGCUCGAAGGGCCGAACGGCCUCCUC